rnacentral:rRNA from 1 species
GACGAACGCUGGCGGCGUGCUUAACACAUGCAAGUCGAACGGAAAGGCCCUGCUUUUGUGGGAUGCUCGAGUGGCGCACGGGAGAGUAACACGUGAGUAACCUGCCCUUGUCUUUGGGAUAACUUCAGGACUCUGGGGCUAAUACCGGAUAGGAGCUCCUGCUGCAUGGUGGGGGUUGGAAAGUUUCGGCGGUUGGGGAUGGACUCGCGGCUUAUCAGCUUGUUGGUGGGGUAGUGGCUUACCAAGGCAUUGACGGUUAGCCGGCCUGGGAGGGUGACCGGCAACAUGGGGACUGGGAUACGGCCCGAACUCCUACGGGAGGAAGCGGUGGGGAAUAUUGCACAAUGGGCGGAAGCCUGAUGCAGCAACGCCGCGGGCGGGAGGACGGCCUUCGGUUUGUAAACCGCUUUCGCCUGUGACGAAGCGUGAGUGACGGUAAUGGGUUAAGAAGCACCGGCUAACUACGUG